CCUACGGGUGGCAGCAGUGGGGGAUAUUGCACAAUGGGGGGAACCCUGAUGCAGCGACGCCGCGUGGGUGAAGGAGCGUUUCGGCGCGUAAAGCCCUAUCGGCAGGGAAGAAGAUGACGGUACCUGACCAAGAAGCCCCGGCUAACUACGUGCCAGCAGCCGCGGUAAUACGUAGGGGGCAAGCGUUAUCCGGAUUUACUGGGUGUAAAGGGAGCGUAGACGGCAGCGCAAGUCUGGAGUGAAAUCCCAUGGCUUAACCAUGGAACUGCUUUGGAAACUGUGCAGCUAGAGUGCAGGAGAGGUAAGCGGAAUUCCUAGUGUAGCGGUGAAAUGCGUAGAUAUUAGGAGGAACACCAGUGGCGAAGGCGGCUUACUGGACUGUAACUGACGUUGAGGCUCGAAAGCGUGGGGAGCAAACAGGAUUAGAUACCCGGGUAGUC
rnacentral:rRNA from 1 species